rnacentral:rRNA from 1 species
UUAAGCGACUAAGCGUACACGGUGGAUGCCCUGGCAGUCAGAGGCGAUGAAGGACGUGCUAAUCUGCGAAAAGCGUCGGUAAGGUGAUAUGAACCGUUAUAACCGGCGAUGUCCGAAUGGGGAAACCCAGUGCAAUUCGUUGCACUAUCGUUAACUGAAUACAUAGGUUAACGAGGCGAACCGGGGGAACUGAAACAUCUAAGUACCCCGAGGAAAAGAAAUCAACCGAGAUUCCCCCAGUAGCGGCGAGCGAACGGGGAGCAGCCCAGAGUCUGAAUCAGCUUGUGUGUUAGUGGAACGGUCUGGAAAGUCCGACGGUACAGGGUGAUAGUCCCGUACACCAAAAUGCACAGGUUGUGAACUCGAAGAGUAGGGCGGGACACGUGGUAUCCUGUCUGAAUAUGGGGGGACCAUCCUCCAAGGCUAAAUACUCCUGACUGACCGAUAGUGAACCAGUACCGUGAGGGAAAGGCGAAAAGAACCCCGGCGAGGGGAGUGAAAAAGAACCUGAAACCGUGUACGUACAAGCAGUGGGAGCACCUUCGGGUGUGACUGCGUACCUUUUGUAUAAUGGGUCAGCGACUUAUAUUCUGUAGCAAGGUUAACCGUAUAGGGGAGCCGCAGGGAAACCGAGUCUUAACUGGGCGUUAAGUUGCAGGGUAUAGACCCGAAACCCGGUGAUCUAGCCAUGGGCAGGUUGAAGGUUGGGUAACACUAACUGGAGGACCGAACCGACUAAUGUUGAAAAAUUAGCGGAUGACUUGUGGCUGGGGGUGAAAGGCCAAUCAAACCGGGAGAUAGCUGGUUCUCCCCGAAAGCUAUUUAGGUAGCGCCUCGUGAACUCAUCUUCGGGGGUAGAGCACUGUUUCGGCUAGGGGGUCAUCCCGACUUACCAACCCGAUGCAAACUACGAAUACCGAAGAAUGUUAUCACGGGAGACACACGGCGGGUGCUAACGUCCGUCGUGAAGAGGGAAACAACCCAGACCGCCAGCUAAGGUCCCAAAGUCAUGGUUAAGUGGGAAACGAUGUGGGAAGGCACAGACAGCCAGGAUGUUGGCUUAGAAGCAGCCAUCAUUUAAAGAAAGCGUAAUAGCUCACUGGUCGAGUCGGCCUGCGCGGAAGAUGUAACGGGGCUAAACCAUGCACCGAAGCUGCGGCAGCGACACUAUGUGUUGUUGGGUAGGGGAGCGUUCUGUAAGCCUGCGAAGGUGUGCUGUGAGGCAUGCUGGAGGUAUCAGAAGUGCGAAUGCUGACAUAAGUAACGAUAAAGCGGGUGAAAAGCCCGCUCGCCGGAAGACCAAGGGUUCCUGUCCAACGUUAAUCGGGGCAGGGUGAGUCGACCCCUAAGGCGAGGCCGAAAGGCGUAGUCGAUGGGAAACAGGUUAAUAUUCCUGUACUUGGUGUUACUGCGAAGGGGGGACGGAGAAGGCUAUGUUAGCCGGGCGACGGUUGUCCCGGUUUAAGCAUGUAGGCUGGUUAUCCAGGCAAAUCCGGAUAAUCAAGGCUGAGGUGUGAUGACGAGGCACUACGGUGCUGAAGUAACAAAUGCCCUGCUUCCAGGAAAAGCCUCUAAGCAUCAGGUAACAUCAAAUCGUACCCCAAACCGACACAGGUGGUCAGGUAGAGAAUACCAAGGCGCUUGAGAGAACUCGGGUGAAGGAACUAGGCAAAAUGGUGCCGUAACUUCGGGAGAAGGCACGCUGGUGUGUAGGUGAAGCCCCUGCGGGUGGAGCUGAGACCAGUCGAAGAUACCAGCUGGCUGCAACUGUUUAUUAAAAACACAGCACUGUGCAAACACGAAAGUGGACGUAUACGGUGUGACGCCUGCCCGGUGCCGGAAGGUUAAUUGAUGGGGUUAUCCGUAAGGAGAAGCUCUUGAUCGAAGCCCCGGUAAACGGCGGCCGUAACUAUAACGGUCCUAAGGUAGCGAAAUUCCUUGUCGGGUAAGUUCCGACCUGCACGAAUGGCGUAAUGAUGGCCAGGCUGUCUCCACCCGAGACUCAGUGAAAUUGAACUCGCUGUGAAGAUGCAGUGUACCCGCGGCAAGACGGAAAGACCCCGUGAACCUUUACUAUAGCUUGACACUGAACAUUGAGCCUUGAUGUGUAGGAUAGGUGGGAGGCUUUGAAGCGUGGACGCCAGUCUGCGUGGAGCCAACCUUGAAAUACCACCCUUUAAUGUUUGAUGUUCUAACGUUGGCCCCUGACCGGGGUUGCGGACAGUGUCUGGUGGGUAGUUUGACUGGGGCGGUCUCCUCCCAAAGCGUAACGGAGGAGCACGAAGGUUAGCUAAUCCUGGUCGGACAUCAGGAGGUUAGUGCAAUGGCAUAAGCUAGCUUGACUGCGAGCGUGACGGCGCGAGCAGGUGCGAAAGCAGGUCAUAGUGAUCCGGUGGUUCUGAAUGGAAGGGCCAUCGCUCAACGGAUAAAAGGUACUCCGGGGAUAACAGGCUGAUACCGCCCAAGAGUUCAUAUCGACGGCGGUGUUUGGCACCUCGAUGUCGGCUCAUCACAUCCUGGGGCUGAAGUAGGUCCCAAGGGUAUGGCUGUUCGCCAUUUAAAGUGGUACGCGAGCUGGGUUUAGAACGUCGUGAGACAGUUCGGUCCCUAUCUGCCGUGGGCGCUGGAGAAUUGAGGGGGGCUGCUCCUAGUACGAGAGGACCGGAGUGGACGCAUCACUGGUGUUCGGGUUGUCAUGCCAAUGGCACUGCCCGGUAGCUAAAUGCGGAAGAGAUAAGUGCUGAAAGCAUCUAAGCACGAAACUUGCCNAUAGGUUAA